UUGAACGCUGGCGGCAUGCCUUACACAUGCAAGUCGAACGGUAACAGGUCUUCGGAUGCUGACGAGUGGCGAACGGGUGAGUAAUACAUCGGAACGUGCCCGAUCGUGGGGGAUAACGAGGCGAAAGCUUUGCUAAUACCGCAUACGAUCUACGGAUGAAAGCGGGGGAUCUUCGGACCUCGCGCGGACGGAGCGGCCGAUGGCAGAUUAGGUAGUUGGUGGGAUAAAAGCUUACCAAGCCGACGAUCUGUAGCUGGUCUGAGAGGAUGAUCAGCCACACUGGGACUGAGACACGGCCCAGACUCCUACGGGAGGCAGCAGUGGGGAAUUUUGGACAAUGGGCGAAAGCCUGAUCCAGCCAUGCCGCGUGCAGGAUGAAGGCCUUUGGGUUGUAAACUGCUUUUGUACGGAACGAAAAGCCUCUUUCUAAUAAAGAGGGGUCAUGACGGUACCGUAAGAAUAAGCACCGGCUAACUACGU
rnacentral:rRNA from 1 species